rnacentral:rRNA from 1 species
AUACGUAGGGGGCGAGCGUUGUCCGGAAUGAUUGGGCGUAAAGGGCGCGUAGGCGGCGCGGUAAGUCUGGAGUGAAAGUCCUGCUUUCAAGGUGGGAAUUGCUUUGGAUACUGCCGCGCUUGAGUGCAGGAGAGGUUAUCGGAACUCCCGGUGUAGCGGUGAAAUGCGUAGAGAUCGGGAGGAACACCAGUGGCGAAGGCGGGUAACUGGACUGCAACUGACGCUGAGGCGCGAAAGUGAGGGGAGCAAACAGGAUUAGAUACCCUGGUAGUCCACACUGUAAACGAUGAAUGCUAGGUGUAAGAGGUAUCGACCCCUUUUGUGCCGGAGUCAACACAAUAAGCAUUCCGCCUGGGGAGUACGGCCGCAAGGUUGAAACUCAAAGGAAUUGACGGGG